GAGUUUGAUCCUGGCUCAGAUUGAACGCUGGCGGCAUGCCUUACACAUGCAAGUCGAACGGCAGCACGGGAGCUUGCUCCUGGUGGCGAGUGGCGAACGGGUGAGUAAUGCAUCGGAACGUAUCCUGGAGUGGGGGAUAACGUAGCGAAAGUUACGCUAAUACCGCAUAUUCUGUGAGCAGGAAAGCGGGGGACCUUCGGGCCUCGCGCUCUUGGAGCGGCCGAUGUCGGAUUAGCUAGUUGGUGAGGUAAAGGCUCACCAAGGCGACGAUCCGUAGCAGGUCUGAGAGGAUGAUCUGCCACACUGGAACUGAGACACGGUCCAGACUCCUACGGGAGGCAGCAGUGGGGAAUUUUGGACAAUGGGGGCAACCCUGAUCCAGCCAUGCCGCGUGAGUGAAGAAGG
rnacentral:rRNA from 5 species